rnacentral:rRNA from 1 species
AUGAACGCUAGCGAUGGCUUAACACAUGCAAGUCGAACGGAGUGGCGAACGGGUGAGUAACGCGUGAGCAACCUGCCUAUGACAGUGGGAUAGCCUCGGGAAACCGGGAUUAAUACCGCAUAGUCAUAGAUGGGCUCGCGUCUGCUUAGCUAGUUGUGGAUAUAACAGCCCACCAAGGCGACGAUCAGUAGCCGGUCUGAGAGGAUGCACGGCCACAUUGGAACUGAGACACGGUCCAAACUCCUACGGGAGGCAGCAGGGGGGAAUAUUGCACAAUGGGGGAAACCCUGAUGCAGCGACGCCGCGUGAACGAAGAAGGGAUUCGUAUCGUAAAGUUCUGUCCUAUGGGAAGCAGUACCAUAGAAGAAAGCUCCGGCUAAAUACGUGCCAGCAGCCGCGGUAAUAC